UUUGGGUAAGGCCUCACCUAGACACCAACUCCAAGGAUGGGGCACAUGACCCAAGUCUAAGCCAAUCAGGGGAUCAUAUUCCUCUGGGGUCCAAAGAUUGGUUGAGGGGGCAGGUGCAUGACCCUCUCGAAGUCACUGGGAUGCCAGGAGGCUUUUGCUGAGACUUGCAGGAAAGAGACUCUUGCUUCUUCCCGUUGAACUUGAACCUACUCUCUCCUACCCCCAUCCUCAGCCUAUAAAGACAUUAGAGGGAUUUAAAGAAAACUUAGAGCAAGGAGUCAUUGGCCUAGGGAAGAGGGUCCUCCCUACUCCCAAGCCAAGGAAGAGGGUCUUCAGCAGAGCCACUCAUAGAGGUGGGCCAUUCUCCUUGGCCAUCUGCUCAUGCAGCAGAAUUGCUGAUGUGCCCUCUCUGCCUAUUUGAGCAAAGGAAAAGUACUUGGAGAGACAUGACAGGGUGGAGGGAGGAAGGAGAGGGCAGAAGGUGGCCACUGUGGGUGUGGCCCAGUUGUGUGUUUCCCAUAGGCUGGGCGGACACUGGGGAAGGCAUGGAAGCUGGAGCCAUCUAGCUGGUAUCCUGCUCAAGAUUCCCCAUCAAGCAGCCUUGGGGCAGGAGCUGGUGGCAGGAGCUGGAGCCUGUCUCCCUGGCAGGGAAUUAUGCAGUGAGGACUUCAGACCUGGGAGCCCUCCGAAUACGUCUUGCAUCUACCCCACGUCAGAAGCCCCGCAGGGAAGGCACUGAGGGCAGCUCCAGGCCACAGACCCUCUCUUCUCCAUUGGUUACAAGCAAGGAAGUAUGGAGUCCCAGACACUCUUGACAGGCUUCUUGGGGCUUUGAGAGGAGAGCAUGAUGGAGGAUGGGGCCAAUAUAAGAGAGCACAGCCAAGAACUGGCGAGAGAGAAACGGACCUGUGCACCAGUUUGAGACCUAGACAAAGAUUUGCCUGGAGCCACAUCUAUUCCUGAGCUGCUCAAUUAAAUGUACUCAGAAAUACACAUUUAUGAGUCUUUUUGUUUGUUUUUACUUUUUGUUUUUGUUUUGCUUAAAUCAGUUGGGUUGGGGUUCUGUUAUCUGCAACUAAAUGUAUCCUAAUAGAUUGCCUCGCUUCCAGCUCCUUUUACUUCUUUUGCACUAAUGCACCCCAGUCACCGUUGGUCCCUCCCUCUACCCUUUCCUCAAUUUAAGAACAAAUACACAAACCACUACAUAUAAAACAGAAUAAGAUGGGUGGCAGGGUUAUUUGGAUUCAUGGCUUGUUGAGAUUCCAUGCCCAAAGAAUAUUGAUUAAUGGAUCAAUGUCAAUCUGGAGGGAAGUCCUGUCCUGUUCAACAUUUUAAUCAAUGACUUGGAUGAAAUAGGAGACAUGCUUAAUAAGUCUCAGAUGACACGAGGCUGGAGGAAUUGCUAAUAUAACAGAUGGCAGAAUCAAGAUUCAAAAUUAUUUUGACUGACUUGAACAGUAAUAAGGAUAAAUAUAAACUCUUCCGUCUAGGCUCAAUAAAUCAAUUGUGUAAGCAGGGUUUGGAAAGGCCCAGCUUGGCAGUUGUCAUAACUACUUAGAACUUGAAGUUGACCAUAAACUCAUGUUGAGCCUAAAGUUAAGACAAUUAAUUAGUAACACAGUGAAUGCAGUUUUCAAAUAUUUAAAAACUGCUGUGAAGAAGAGACAUUGACUUUGCCUUUACUUCCCCAGUAGAAUAAAGAAGUAGAAUUUCCCGGGAAGUGGUUUUCAGUUCAUUGUAUGAAACAUUUUUUAAUGGUUCCAGUAACAGAACAGACCACCUUUCAAAAUGGUGAAUGUAAUAGCAAUCAUAUCAG
rnacentral:lncRNA from 1 species